rnacentral:rRNA from 1 species
UUGAACCUCCACCAAGGGAAUAUGAGCAUUAGGGAGUAUAGCCCUCAAUUUAAUUCCCUGUCCAGGUAUGCUCCUACUGUGGUUGCUAUUAUGGAAGAUAGAGUUCAUCGAUAUGUGGAUAGGUUGGAUACAUAUCUGUUUAAAGAUUGUACCAGUACUUCCCUGAACAAAGAUAUGGAUAUAGAAAGAAUGCAAGCUUUUGCAUAGAAAAUGAAGGAUCAAAGGCAAAGGAGAAGGACACAAGAGUUAUAAAGGUGGCAGUCCAAAAGGGCUACAGGGCAGUUUACACCAUCCCAAAGUGAGGUUAGGCCUCACUUUUCAAAUUAACUGCCUAGGCCAUCAUCCUCCUACUCUGCAGCCAAUGGUCGACCAUAAUAUCAGGGUUCUAGGAGCAAUUAGCUGGGUCAAAGAAGCGAAGGGCAGGGCGCCCGGACAGCGGGAUAUUUAGCAAGCCAGUAAAUGACUCCUAUACAGCCUUCUAGAUAGUAUGGGAGAAUUCAUUCAGGUGUAUAUCGUGUUAGGACAAAUGCUUGUUAUUGGUAUGGUUCACCAGGGCAUAUGAUAAGAGAUUGCCCGAGGAGACGAAUAGGUGACAUAGCACAACCUACUAUAUGAGCUAUUGCAUCAUCGUCGUCAGUUCCUCCAAUAAGGAGGGGUUAACAUGCACCUAUGGGUCAUGGUAGAGGUGUAAGAGGGGCAGCUAGUUCUAGCGGAGUCUAGAAUCGCACAAGGCAGUUUAAGUGUCCACACCAACCAGUGAAUCUAUUAUUGCUAGAAGGUUUAUUAUGACUGUGUAGUAACUAUUUCUAACCGUGACACAUUAUAGUAACUAUUUGUAACUAUUUAUUAUGACUGUGUAGUAACUAUUUGUAAUAGUCAGAGGUAACGUCCUACGGCUAGAAGAGCACCGCACGACGCAUGGUGUCUUAUGCGCUCUCGACAGCCCUUGAAAAUCUAGAGGAUCGAAUGCCAUCCAUGCUUGAUCAUACUCAUAACUGCAUCAAGUCUCCAAAGUGAACAGCCUCUGGUCGAUAGAAUAAUUUAUGUAAGGGAAUUCAGCAAAAUAAAUUCAUAACUUUGGGAAAAAUAUUGGCUCUGAGGGCUAGGCAAGGGAGUCCCAGUCCCGAACACGUCGGCUGUUGGUGGACUACUCGAGCUAUUUCUAUGGUGAAAGUGGGUAAACAUAUGCCGACCGGGGGACGAACUGGGAACAGUUCCUUCGUGCGCCUUCCCCGGGCAUCGAACAACCUACUCAGAACUGGAAUGAACAAGAGAAAUCUGACUGUUUAAUUAAAACAAAGCAUUGCGAUGGUUCCAAUGAAUUCUCAUGCAAUAUGAUUUCUACCCAGUUCUCUGAAUUUCAAGGUGAAGAAAUUCAACCAAGCGCUAGUAAAUGACGAGAGUAACUAUGACUCUCUUAAGGUAGCCAAAUGCCUCAUCAUCUAAUUAGUGAUGCACAUGGAUGUAUUAAUAAGAUUCCCACUGUCCCUGUCUACUAUCCAGUGAAACCAUAGCCAAGGGAAUGAGCUUGGAAGAAUCAGCAGGAAAAGAAGACCCUGUUGAGCUUGAGUCUAGUCCGACUUUAUGAAAUGACUUGAGAGGUGUAGUAUAAGUGGGAACCGAAAGGUGAAAGUGAAAUACCACUACUUUUAACCUUAUUUUACUUAUUGCAUGAAUUAGAAGCAGGGCACUGCCCCUUUUUGUGGACCCAAGGCUCGCUCUGCGAGUUGAUACGAGUGAAAGAAAUUGUUAGAUGGCGAGUUCGGCUGGGUUGGCACAUCUAUUAAAAGAUAACGCAGGUGUCCUAAGAUUAGCUUAAUGAGAACAGAAAUAUCAUGUGGAAUAAAAGUGUAAAAGCUCAUUUGAUUUAGAUUUCCACAAUGAAUACGAACCGUGAAAGCGUGGCCUAAUGAUCCUUUAGACCUUCAGAAUUCGAAGCUAGAGGUGUCAGAAAAGUUACCACAGGAAUAACUGGCUUGUGGCUGCCAAGUGUUCAUAGUGACAUUGCUUUUUAAUCAUUUGAUGUCGGCUCUUCCAAUCAUUGUGAAGAAGAAUUCACCAAGUGUUAGAUUGUUCACCAACCAAUAAGGAAUGUGAGCUGGGUUUAGACCAUCAUGAGACAAGUUAGUUUUACCCUGCUGAUGAAAUUGUCACAAUAGUAAUUCAACCUAGUACGAGAUGAACCAUUGAUUCACACAAUUGGUUUUUGCGCUUGGUUGAAAAGCCAUUAGCGCGAAGCUAGCGUGUGCUGGAUUAUAACUGAAUGCCUCUAAGUCAGAAUCUGGGCUAGAAGUGAUACAUACGCCUACGGUCGGCUUGCCGACUCGCAGUAGGGGCCUUCGGCGCCCAAAGGCACUUAUCUUUGGCUACGCCAUCUCGAUGGAAGCGUUAUGGCGACAGCCUUGAAGUACAAUUUGCAUCGAGU